CUGCUGCAUACUUAUCAGCCAUACUUUUCUUUUUAGAUGUUCCCGCACUCUGCGCAAGCUUUUCCCUCUGCAAAUGCAUGUCAAAUUUAUGUUUGAAAGUGCAGGACCUGCAAAAAGUAGUAAGUCUGAUCAUAUCUGCCAUUAUGGAAAUGAGGAAGCUAGGGCUUGAAAUUUACCAUUUGGCAGACAUGCCCACUCCCAUCCAUCUUGAAUUGGCGACGAACAUCUUCUUGAAGUUGCAACAAUUGAAAUGCACCUAAAAACCAGUUCAGUUCAGUUCACAUCACACUCACUCAUGAGCUUUACAGAAAAUAGCAAACCAUAAGCAAAUAGUGCUGAUUUUAAACAAGAUCAGAAGAAAGCAUGAUGGAAUUGAUCUGAUGGCUAACCUGCGUGUGAAAGUCGUUCUGCUUCAGAUUCAGCAUGUUGUAUGAAGCCUAUUUUGUCACCUCGCACAUACUGCUGAAGAAAACCUUUCAAUAUUGUAGCAAGAUAAACAGCAUGCAAAUGUAUUCAUUCAAUUUCAGACACUUGCCUUGAGCCUGCCAUGAACUUUAUCAGGGUUGUCCACUAAAUCAGAUGAUGCCAUUGAUGCAACCGCCAGAUGUCCUAUAUAGUCUUCAAA